UACGUAGGGGGCAAGCGUUGUCCGGAUUUAUUGGGCGUAAAGAGCGUGUAGGCGGCCAGACAGGUCAGCUGUGAAAACUCGAGGCUCAACCUCGAGACGUCGGUUGAAACCGUGCGGCUAGAGUCCGGAAGAGGAGAAUGGAAUUCCUGGUGUAGCGGUGAAAUGCGCAGAUAUCAGGAAGAACACCCGUGGCUAAGGCGGUUCUCUAGUACGGUACUGACGCUGAGACGCGAAAGCGUGGGGAGCGAACAGG
rnacentral:rRNA from 1 species